GCCUCUUCCAUCUUCGAAGAGGGCUAAGAUUACCUGUUUACGAGCCAGCAAAUAGAAAGCAGCAAAAAGGACUUAGAAGAAAAAAAUCACUUAUGUGGUUUUGGGAAAGGGAGAUGACAGUGCCAACCUCGCAGAGUGAGGAGGAGGGAAAUGGCAGUCAAGAAACCAGCAGCUGACACAGAGCAGGCAGGUAAUCAGUGAUGGUCAUUAUCCCUUCCCCU
rnacentral:lncRNA from 1 species